rnacentral:rRNA from 1 species
CCUACGGGAGGCAGCAGUUGGGAAUCUUGGACAAUGGGGGAAACCCUGAUCCAGCCAUGCCGCGUGAGUGAUGAAGGCCUUCGGGUUGUAAAACUCUUUCGACGGGGACGAUAAUGACGGUACCCGUAGAAGAAGCUCCGGCUAACUUCGUGCCAGCAGCCGCGGUAAUACGAAGGGGGCUAGCGUUGUUCGGAAUUACUGGGCGUAAAGCGCGCGCAGGCGGCUAUCCAAGUCAGUGGUGAAAGCCCGGAGCUCAACUCCGGAACUGCCAUUGAAACUGUUUAGCUUGAGGACGAGAGAGGUGAGUGGAAUUCCCAGUGUAGAGGUGAAAUUCGUAGAUAUUGGGAAGAACACCGGUGGCGAAGGCGGCUCACUGGCUCGUAUCUGACGCUCAGGCGCGACAGCGUGGGGAUCAAACAGGAUUAGAUACCCUGGUAGUCCACGCCGUAAACGAUGAAUGCUAGCCGUUGGGUAGCUUGCUAUCAGUGCGCNGCUACGCAUAGCAUCGCCGUGGAGUACGGCGCGAGUAGAACGUAAAGUAAGUAGNGCGNGAGAGNGCGAGCGACGACGAGGAGAG